rnacentral:tRNA from 1 species
AAAUUCCAAGGUCAAUAGUUCGAACCUGUUUCGAAGGACCCUUGGUAGCUCAGUUGGAAGAGCGUAAGACUGCAAUU